GCCGCUGCGCCCCGAGACCCAGGCCCCUGCCGCGGCCGAGUCUCGGCUCCGGGCCUUGCUGCAAACUUGGCCAUCCAAAGAAUGGCGUCCAUUUACAUAAUGCUUUGUUUGCGUUUUGCAACUCUGCUUUCGGUUAGACCCACAGCACCCCCACCUCCUGCCUUUGACUGUUUGGGGUCCCCCCCGCCACCCCACGGCUGACUCGUUAGAGUUGGGGGCAGCGGUGUGGGGGGUGUGCGGGCCCCGCGUGUGGAGGGGCUUGCGGCGCCGUUGGAGCGCGGCCGGGAAGCCCUCUCAGCCUUUCCGCCUCCGCGCCCCGCGUCUCCGGGGGCGGCCCUUGGCGGCGUCCGCCAUCUUGCAGCACCUUCCCUGCCGCGUUGCUCGCGCAGAGGAAAUGUCGCUCGAGACGCCGGCGCGUUCGAGUUAACGGUUUUUUUACCCUCCCCAUCCCCCGCAUUUCUUCCUCCGGCUAAGUCAGACGAGAACGGAGCUUGUGCUCGACGUUCGUCAAGCUUCCUCGGGGAAAGGCUAACGUGGCGCGUCCCCGUUUCCCCCACCCCCCGCUUUAACCCACGCGGGCGGCCGCCAUGUUUUCUGAUCACAAAAUGGCGACACGUGGCCUCGAUCUGUUCCUAACGAGAAGUUGGGGUGGGCCCGAAAGCUCUAGAAUGCACACCCCCGCCCUGGUCCCUCCCCGCACCACAGGUUUUAUGAUCACUCGGGAUGGAGUCCUACAGUUUGGUCCAAAGCCCGCUGGAUCGAUUUUAAUCCGUUCUCCAGCCCCUUUCAUUUGAAACGGGAAUGCCAGUAACUGAAAUGGGACAUAGUAUUGGUUCUCAAGCUCUGUUAAAAUUUGGUGGUGAAUAAUGGGAUGCAGUACCAGGGAGUAAUUUGGGAGCCGCUGACCACUCCAGCAGGAAAGCAUUUAGAAAUCACUGCUUUUAAGAAAUAAUACGGGAAUUUCUUACUUUCCUAGUUUUCCUGGCAUUUUAUAGAUUGAUGUACAGGAGGUUCCCAGAGAGGAUUUUUAUGAAGGUUAAGCUUUGUAAAGUGUGUAGGGCAUUUGGGCUUUUAUUCACAGCCCAACUGGCCCAUGUACCUCAGUUUACUACGGUUGGUAUUCACUGUGAGUCUAGAAAAUUAACGUGUUUACUGUGAUCUUAGGCAUUUGGCUGAUACCAUGUUUUUAACUGUGAUCUUCUGAGGUAGGUGGUAUCAUCUGUUUCUCUCUUUCUUUUUUAAAGCAGAGGAAGAUAACAAACAUGAAGGGUUUAAGUCAAGGUCACACGUGUCGUACAUGGAAUCCAGACCUGAAUUUCUUCCUGAGGGGGACUUCUGGCCUGCACAUUGUCAGAGCUUACAAAAUGGCUGGAAGAUUAUCCGGGAACUUGAAGAACUGCAUUUUCCUCAUUACACCACUAGGUGAUGUACCAACUCAUGAACUCAGACGUCCAGAGACUUAUAUACAGAAUUGUUUGAAAAGGCCAUCAGAAGUCAUCUGGUCCAACUUCAUUAAAAGUUUUUCUUUUUUUUAAUGGAAAG